AUGUUUUAUAUCUCAGCUCUUGUCACGAUGAAGAAUGUAGUGAAAUGCGAUACUUAGUGUGAAUUGCAGAAUCCCAUGAAUCAUCGAGUUUUUGAACGCAUAGUACAACAUUUUUGAGGAUAUGUUAACAUGAUGAUU
rnacentral:rRNA from 1 species